UCUGCCCCUUGAGGCGUUGCAGCUUGGCCUUCCAUGUUGCAGCUAUGUCAAAAGGUCGCCCAAAGCAAAGGGGAUGGUCUGCACCGAGUCGCCACAUUAACGGCGACUUGGUGUGACCUAGACCACCAAC